UCCAGUUUAUCAAUCAAUCAUCCGGUUUAUCAAUCAAUCAUACAGUUAUUAAUCAAUCAUUUGGUUUUUAAAUAAUCCUCUGGUUAUCAUUCAAUCAUUUGUUUCAUCAAUCAAUCGUCUUAUUUAUUAAUCAAUCAUUAUCAUAAUAAGUGCUUAUGUUUAUGUAGGUCAAACUCCGUACGCUGGAAAUCCUGUAUGGACUCAAUAUCUCAACAAGUUCAUAUUUCCAAGCUUGCUGACGGACAUUGAGUUUAAACAGACAUUUGGAUUGGAUUCACAAUCCUUCUAUGCGUUCAGGAACUCGUAUGUUGUCCCAGAAUUUGGUGCUAUCACGACUCAUCAUCUGGAUACAAUAACCUCGGCAGUAUUGCACAAAUUGUACAAGGAUAACGAUUACAGGCAGGGUGUGAUUAAUCUGUUAUUUAUUUCGCUUUUUUUUUAACUUGUUAUGUCUUAAAACAAUUCACUCAUUCUGAUGAUUUUCUAUAUCGCCCAGUAAUCACUUGCCUGAAAUCAGAGACAUGGGUAUUCUUUACGGAGUUGCUCAUAAAACUAUUCAAAGAUGGUUUGACAGAGUUAUGGGCCGUCUUCACACAAACCAUCCAUUUCUUGUAAAUCAGAGAGAUCUCGGCAAUCCUGGUAAACUGAGAGGUGAGAUAUUCUAGUUUUUAAGAUCAUUUGGACUAUAUAUUUAAAAAAUUGCUUAUUAUUAGAAAGCAA